CUCGAGGCCAGAUCUAGAGUUUGAUCCUGGCUGAGAACGAACGCUGGCGGCGUGCCUAACACAUGCAAGUCGAGCGAGAAAGUUCCCUUCGGGGAACGAGUAAAGCGGCGCACGGGUGAGUAAUACGUAGGUAACCUACCUUCGAGUCUGGAAUAACUGGAGGAAACUCCAGCUAAUGCCGGAUAAGACCACGGCCACUCCGGUGGCAGCGGUCAAAGAUGGCCUCUACAGGUAAGCUAUUGCUUGGGGAUGGGCCUACGCACCAUUAGCUUGUUGGUAAGGUAACGGCUUACCAAGGCGAUGAUGGUUAGCUGGUCUGAGAGGAUGAUCAGCCACACUGGGACUGAGACACGGCCCAGACUCCUACGGGAGGCAGCAGUGGGGAAUUUUGCGCAAUGGGGGAAACCCUGACGCAGCGACGCCGCGUGGGUGAUGAAGGCCUUCGGGUCGUAAAGCCCUGUCGGAGGGGAAGAAACGGGAGUGUACCCAAUACGUGCACUCUUUGACGGUACCCUCCAAGGAAGCACCGGCUAACUCCGUGCCAGCGGCCGCGGUAAUACGGAGGGUGCGAGCGUUGUUCGGAAUUACUGGGCGUAAAGGGCGUGUAGGCGGCUGGCUAAG
rnacentral:rRNA from 1 species